rnacentral:rRNA from 1 species
UACGGAGGGGGCUAGCGUUGUUCGGAAUUACUGGGCGUAAAGCGCACGUAGGCGGCUUUGCAAGUCAGAGGUGAAAGCCCGGGGCUCAACCCCGGAAUAGCCUUUGAGACUGCAUCGCUAGAAUUGUGGAGAGGUAAGUGGAAUUCCGAGUGUAGAGGUGAAAUUCGUAGAUAUUCGGAAGAACACCAGUGGCGAAGGCGACUCACUGGACACGUAUUGACGCUGAGGUGCGAAAGCGUGGGGAGCAAACAGG